rnacentral:rRNA from 1 species
UACAGAGGUCUCAAGCGUUGUUCGGAUUCAUUGGGCGUAAAGGGUGCGUAGGUGGCGCUGUAAGUCGGGUGUGAAAUUUCGGAGCUUAACUCCGAAACUGCAUUCGAUACUGCGGUGCUUGAGGACUGGAGAGGAGACUGGAAUUCAUGGUGUAGCAGUGAAAUGCGUAGAGAUCAUGAGGAAGACCAGUGGCGAAGGCGGGUCUCUGGACAGUUCCUGACACUGAGGCACGAAGGCCAGGGGGAGCAAACGGGG